AUGCCAGUUAGCCAAAAGUCCACGUUGAAUAGCCCAGUUAAUACGGGACAUGAAAACCAGGACAAAUUGGAACACAAGCAAAUUCCAGAACGCAAUGGACACGAUAAUAAUAUGAAUGUAGCUAGCUUUGAUGCUUUUAGUGGAUCAGAUAAUGCUAGAGAUUUUGUUUCUGUUGAACCAAACAAUAGACCGGGAACCGAGUUCACGAAUGUAGGGGCACAAAGUAAAGAGAUGGGAAGAUUUUCAGCACGUCCCUCCGAAUAUCCGGUACGGCGUACGUUCUUGGGGUCAAAUUCAGACGUAUGGUCGGAAUUUCUCCAAUAUUUUGAAAAUAUUCGGGAGUUAAAUUUGUGGGACGAUGAGAAAGCAAGACGAGUAUUGCUUAGUACGUUAAGGGGCCAAGCGGAAACCUACGCUUACGGGCUGCCUUUGAUAAUUCAGAGAAAUUAUCAACGUUUAGCGGAGAAACUGAACGAUAGAUUCGGGCAUGCUGCAAUGAAAGAGAGAUAUAUUGCUGAUGCUAAACUACGGAGGAGGCAACCAGGAGAAUCCCUCCGAGAUUUUGGUCAAGCUAUUGAAGACUUGUAUAGGCGGGCUUAUCCAAACAAUCCUGACAUAGUUGAAGAAAACGCUAUGAAGUCAUUUUUAGACAGAUGCGGCCAAAACGAAGAAUUUCGUUUAAAUAUAAAACGCACUAGACCUAGAACUUUACAAGAUGCUGUUUUAUCGGCUGUGCAAGAAGAAUGUUUACGGUUAGGUGAACAAGAUUUAUUUCAAGAUGCCAAACCCGCAAAUCGUUUAAUCUUUGGAAUAGACGGCGAAGAUGAUGGUGGCGAAAUAAAUGACGAGAACGAUUUUGAAAUUCCCUUUUCGUCAGGGGAGAGUUAUCAACCUCAAAAUGAUUAUAGGAGUGAAACCUAUAGAGGAAGAGGAUCCAAGUCGAAAAAUAAUUCUCGACAAAAUAAUCGUGGGAGAGGAAAUUCUAAUUAUUCUAACCCAGCACGAUCAAGAGGGGGCCGGGGUUUUAACCGGUCAAAUGACUCCUCUGAUCCGUUAAACUAAAACGGACCGGUACCUUUGGCCAGGUACCGGUCACACCAACGCGGCCUUACGCGAAAAAUUAUGCAAGGAAAUUUGGAAUUAAAAAUCAGAAAGACAGAAGAAAAAGAAAUGAUAAAACUAAACAAAAUUCAAAAAUUCAAGUAUCUAAAGAAACUAAUCCUUGCAACUUAAAGCAGACGCCUCAAGAGGCGAAAAAUUGUGACGAUGUCACUACGGCCAAGAAUCUAGAGCACCCUAAUUCUCAUGGAGCUCUAGUUCGUGUUUACGGUGUUGCUAACAUGAUGGUUAAAGGUCAUAUAGAGAGUGUUCCUAUCAAUUGGAAAAUUGACACUGGAGCUAAACGGACUUUCAUUACGGAACAUGUUUUUAAUUCAAUUAUUGAAAAACCGCAACUAAGUCCAGUUAACGCUAAUUAUAUAGCCGCUGACGGACAUAGUUUGAAAUGUAAAGGAGAAGCUGUCAUGUUGGUAAUUUUCAAUGAUCACGUUUUUGAAACACAAGAUCAUUGUAGGAGGAGUAAAAUAUAACUUACUCGGGGAGGACUUCAUUCUUAAAAACCGGUGUACUUGGGACCCGGAUGAAUCAAGUUUUAUUAUUAAAGGAAGUAGAUUUCCAUUAGGCGGAAAUGAUGGUAAAAGUGGAUCUGGCAGAGUGGUGGCCUUACAAACGAUACUGGUACCUGCAGGACACGAGGCGAUUGUAAAGUCCAGCGUUGUUAAUAAGUUAGAUUCGCCCUGUAAGCAAAGUUUCCUUGGGAUAUUGACACCGGAAAAAUUGUUUAUGGAAAAGUUUGGUUUAGCUAUUGCUAGGACACUAGUAGAUUCUAACCAAUCUGUAAUAUUUACACGAGUUUUUAACCCCGGAUCGUCUGAUGUUACAAUUUAUCAAAAUACGCACAUGGCACUGUUUACGCCUAUAGAUAAGGUAGGGCCAGUCUUGGACCUAAAUGUUGAUAUUUCGAUUUGCCGAGUGUCCGAAAUAAGCGAAGACACUUGUUUAUUACCUGAAUACCUUACUGAUGUUUACGAACGUGGUUGUGUUGGCCUCACGGAGAAACAGCAGCAGAAGUUUAAAGUAUUUCUUUGUAAAAUGCAGGAAUGUUUUGCUAAACCUGGGGAGGUAGGACGAACUAAUUUAGGCUCACAUUCUAUCAAGCUGAACGACGAAAAGCCGGUGAGAGAGCCUCCCAGACGGAUUCCUCUCUAUAAAAGACAAGCAGUUGAGGACGAAAUCAACAAACUAGAAGCACAAGGACUUAUUGAAAAAUCAAUUAGCCCUUGGUCCUCGCAAAUCGUAAUGGUUCAGAAGAAAGACCAGUCCUGGAGAAUGUGUGUGGACUUUAGAAAAUUGAAUGAAAAGACCGUAAAAGACGCCUACCCUUUAACUAGAAUCGAUGAAAACCUCGACACCUUAAGUGGAGCCGAAUGGUUUACAUCCUUAGAUUUAAAUAUGGCGUAUCACCAGGUUCCAUUAGAAGAUGGGGAUAAAGAGAAAACCGCGUUUGCAACACCAAGAGGAGGUCUAUAUCAAUUUGUGACUAUGCCGUUCGGUCUUUGUAAUGCGGCCGGAACGUUCGAGCGAAUUAUUGAGAAAGCGUUGAGUGGACUACAAUGGCAUAUUGCCGUUUUGUAUCUAGACGACAUUGUAGUUUUUGGAAAAACGUUUGACGAGCAUUUUGAUAAUUUAGAAAAAGUACUCGACAAACUAAUGUUAGCCGGAUUAAAAUUGAAACCUAAAAAGUGCACUUUUCUUCAGAAAGAAAUCACAUUUUUAGGUCACGUGGUAUCAAAAUCCGGGGUGAGAACAGAUCCGGCCAAAUUAGAUGCGGUAAAUAAAAUACCAGCUUCCAACAACAAUUACAGAGGUACGAAGUUUCCUCGGCCUGACCUCGUACUACCGUAAGUUUGUAAGAAAUUAUUCGAAAAUCGCAAAACCUCUGUUUGAUCUCACUAAGAAGGGACAUUGCUGGAAGUGGACAACGGAUUGCGAAUCAGCGUUUCAAGAGCUUAAAACACGGUUGACUUCAGCACCUAUAUUAGCAUACCCGCAAGUAAAUGGAGCUGAAUUCAUACUGGAUACCGACGCCAGUAAUUUUGCUAUUGGCGCGGUAUUGUCACAAGUACAAGAUGGAACGGAGAGAGUUAUUGCCUACGGAAGUAGAUCGUUAGAUAAACCGGAACGCAAUUAUUGUGUGACCCGGAGAGAAAUGCUAGCUGUAGUAUUUUUUACCCGACAUUUUAAACAUUACUUAUUGGGUAGACGUUUUACUUUGCGUACCGAUCAUGGAUCGCUUACAUGGUUACAAAAUUUCAAAGAACCAGAUGGGCAGAUUCAUCGUUGGAUCCAACAGUUGAGUCAAUUCCACAUGAAGAUUGUCCAUAGACCUGGUGUCCGUCAUGGUAAUGCCGAUGCUUUAUCUCGCAUUAUCACGUCGACAUCCGAUAUUUGCAAACAAUGCAAAAUGCCCUGGGAUUAUGAAUACCAGGGACCUGAAGAAGUAGAAAUAAUUGAGAUGCAGGAAGGAGACGGAGUAAAAUUGAUGAAUAAAGUUUUGGAAGGUCAGUCUAUAGGUGGAGUUACUGAUAAAAGUCCUGAAAGUCCCACAAUGUCAUCAAAUAAUUCUGGAGACAUGGAUGGGCAACUAGAUUGUAGUAUUCCAGGAGAAAUACCUAUUGUAAGGAGGGGGAGAAAGCCAAAUCGGCCCCCGCCAGCCAGACGAAAACCACUCCCAAAAAUAGCAUUGGACAUAACAUCUAUGAGACAGCAACAAGAAGAGGAUGAUAUAAUGGGGGAAAUUUUAAAACUAAAAAUUGAAAAUGCGGAAAAACCUUCAACAACGGAAAUAAGUAGUAAGAGCAAAGAAUUCAAAUUUUGGAUAUCAAGAUGGGAGUUGUUGGAAGUUAAAAAUGAUGUCCUGUGUUUGUAUUGGGUUGAAAAGAACAACUGUGCAAAAUGGCGUGUGUGCGCACCAAAGUCCGCAGUUAGUGGUAUACUUUGGUACUUACAUGACGCUAGAACCUCAGGUCAUUUAGGGAUAAAGAAAACAGUUGAGCGAGCCCAUAUAUGUCCGUUUUAUUGGUGGAGUAUGCAAAGAUCGGUGAAAGAGUAUGUUCAUAACUGUGAAAUAUGCGAAGAGCGGAAAAAUCCAGCGCACAAGAAGAGGCACGCUCUGAAAACACACUUAGUCGGUGCUCCCUUCGAGAGAAUAGCUACGGAUAUCGCUGGCCCGUUUCCAUUGUCUGACAACAAAAACCGUUAUGUGCUCGUAGUAGGGGACUAUUUUACUAAGCUUACAGAAGCAUACCCGAUGCCAGAUAUGCAGGCGGAAACAGUUGCCGACAUUAUUUUUAGAGCAUGGGUUAAAAGAUACGGCUGUCCUAUUGAAUUACACUCCGACCAGGGCAGACAAUACGAAAGUACUCUUUUUCAAAAUAUGUGUGAGUUACUUGAAAUAAAGAAAACCAGAACAACUCCAUUGCAUCCUCGUUCUGAUGGGAUGAUAGAACGUAUGAACCGAACGAUUCAGGACAUAUUAUCAAAGUACAUCAAGUCUCACCAGAGAGAUUGGGAUCAACACUUAGAUUUUCUUACCAUGGCCUAUAAUUCAACACCUCAUGAAAGUACAGGUUUAACACCACACCGUUUGGUAUACGGACAGGAAAUGAAAUUCCCCUUGGAUAUUAUUUCUGAAAGAAUUGAGCAAGACGAACCCCAGUCUGAGUUUGCAUCUGAUUACGCCAAUAAAUUAGAAGAAAGGUUGCGGGAGGCACAUGAAAUAGCGAGAGAGCAUUUAAAAGUGUCAUCAGAGCGACAGAAAUUUCAAUACGACGGAAAUGUUAAAGAAAAAAUAUAUUCUGACGGACAGUUAGUGUGGAGAAAUCAAAAACAAAAUAUUCCAGGAAAGAAAGCCAAGAUUUGUAGGAAUUGGACCGGGCCGUGGGUGAUUAUAAAAAAUUAAGCGACGUUUUGUACAGAAUUCAACAUGCUAAAAAUUCGCCCCCUGUUGUGGUUCAUGGAGACAAUUUAAAACCGUAUCGGGGAUCAAAGAAACUUAAAUGGUUUAAACAAGGAGUAAUUAAUGAAAAUGUGACAGUAAGUUUUCCAGAUCUCGAUAAUUUCCUGCAAUCGGAAGAUUCUGAAAAGGACAGUGAAAAUGCGGAAGAAUUUGCCAAUGACCUACCUACAGAGUUGGAUGAAAGUAUUAUUCCGAACCACCAAAAAGAAGAUAAAUGCAUUGACAAUUUACCAGCUGUUUCAAAAAGUCCACAAAAGCCCGAAAAAGAAGCCCAGAGGAAAAGCCCGAAGGCCCGAAAAACAGAAGCCCAGUUUCCACAUCUGAAAUUAAUUAGCAUCUCACCAGAUGUCGCGCCUGCGCAAGAAAAUCAAAACAGUCGGGAAUAUAAACAGUACACCACGAGAAAAGGACGCCAAAUUAAAGUACCAGAAAAGUUUAAAGAUUUUAUUGCAACUUUUUGA
rnacentral:sRNA from 1 species